CGCGUAGGCGGUUUUUUAAGUGAGGCGUGAAAGCCCUGGGCUUAACCCAGGAGGUGCGUUUCAUACUGGAAAGCUUGAGUACGAGAGAGGAAAGUGGAAUUCCUAGUGUAGAGGUGAAAUUCGUAGAUAUUAGGAAGAACACCAGUGGCGAAGGCGGCUUUCUGGCUCGUAACUGACGCUGAGGCGCGAAAGCGUGGGGAGCAAACA
rnacentral:rRNA from 1 species